rnacentral:snoRNA from 1 species
UUCCUUUGAUGACACUCGCAAACGUCUUACGCCUUGUGUAAAUGCCAGAACCUGAAAAGGUGGACCCACUGGCAUUUCCCUGGCAACAAGGUGAAGAACUGUUGGGGCUACCAACAGUCUGAAUGGAAA